ACGCUAGCUACAGGCUUAACACAUGCAAGUCGAGGGGCAGCAUGUUGGCUGCUUGCAACCAAUGAUGGCGACCGGCGCACGGGUGAGUAACGCGUAUCCAACCUACCCAAUACUCAGGCAUAACCCGUUGAAAGACGGACUAAUUCCUGAUGGCAUGUAUUUCUCUCAUGAGUUAUACAUUAAAGAAUUUCGGUAUUGGAUGGGGAUGCGUCUGAUUAGUUUGUUGGUGAGGUAACGGCUCACCAAGACUUCGAUCAGUAGGGGUUCUGAGAGGAAGGUCCCCCACAUUGGAACUGAGACACGGUCCAAACUCCUACGGGAGGCAGCAGUGAGGAAUAUUGGUCAAUGGAUGCAAAUCUGAACCAGCCAAGUAGCGUGCAGGAUGACGGCCCUAUGGGUUGUAAACUGCUUUUAUGUGAGAAUAAAGUUAGGUAUGUAUACUUAUUUGCAUGUAUCACAUGAAUAAGGACCGGCUAAUUCCGCGCCAGCAGCCGCGGUAAUACGGAAGGUCCAGGCGUUAUCCGGAUUUAUUGGGUUUAAAGGGUGCGUAGGCCGUUUGAUAAGCGUGCUGUGAAAUAUAGUGGCUCAACCUCUAUCGUGCAGCGCGAACUGUCGAACUUGAGUGCGUAGUAGGUAGGCGGAAUUCGUGGUGUAGCGGUGAAAUGCUUAGAUAUCACGAAGAACUCCGAUUGCGAAGGCAGCUUACCGUAACGUUACUGACGCUUAAGCACGAAGGUGCGGGUAUCGAACAGGAUUAGAUACCCUGGUAGUCCGCACAGUAAACGAUGGAUGCUCGCUGUUGGCCUUUUUGGUCAGUGGCUUAGCGAAAGCGUUAAGCAUCCCACCUGGGGAGUACGCCGGCAACGGUGAACUCAAAGGAAUUGACGGGGGCCCGCACAAGCGGAGGAACAUGUGGUUUA
rnacentral:rRNA from 1 species